AUGUAUGAGCGGUACACACAGGCACAACAAUCUCACGGUUUCUCUCUUCACGCACAGCACACAAAUAAGAUCCAUCUCAAUUACUCUCUUUGCACACAACGCGCAUCAUGUGGAAAGUUGGUCAAACACUCACUCGGGCAGGGAACCACUCCCGGGGGAAGCUGGUCGGGCAACGCGGGCGCGCAGGACGUGGUCGUCCAGCUGGCAGCGGGAGAAGGCCAGCGACGGACCUCCGGAGCCGCAACUUGCCCUGCACAACGCCGCCUCGCUCGUCCUUUACUGCUUGGCGCCCUCUGCCCUCCACCCGGGCCAUCCAUAGCAGCUUCCUCCGUGCCCUUCUCCAUGCAUCGCGCCGCGCGGUAG
rnacentral:rRNA from 1 species